rnacentral:rRNA from 1 species
AUAAUGGGUCAGCGACUUAUAUUCUGUAGCAAGGUUAACCGAAUAGGGGAGCCGAAGGGAAACCGAGUCUUAACUGGGCGUUAAGUUGCAGGGUAUAGACCCGAAACCCGGUGAUCUAGCCAUGGGCAGGUUGAAGGUUGGGUAACACUAACUGGAGGACCGAACCGACUAAUGUUGAAAAAUUAGCGGAUGACUUGUGGCUGGGGGUGAAAGGCCAAUCAAACCGGGAGAUAGCUGGUUCUCCCCGAAAGCUAUUUAGGUAGCGCCUCGUGAAUUCAUCUCCGGGGGUAGAGCACUGUUUCGGCAAGGGGGUCAUCCCGACUUACCAACCCGAUGCAAACUGCGAAUACCGGAGAAUGUUAUCACGGGAGACACACGGCGGGUGCUAACGUCCGUCGUGAAGAGGGAAACAACCCAGACCGCCAGCUAAGGUCCCAAAGUCAUGGUUAAGUGGGAAACGAUGUGGGAAGGCCCAGACAGCCAGGAUGUUGGCUUAGAAGCAGCCAUCAUUUAAAGAAAGCGUAAUAGCUCACUGGUCGAGUCGGCCUGCGCGGAAGAUGUAACGGGGCUAAACCAUGCACCGAAGCUGCGGCAGCGACGCUGAUGCGUUGUUGGGUAGGGGAGCGUUCUGUAAGCCUGUGAAGGUGUGCUGUGAGGCAUGCUGGAGGUAUCAGAAGUGCGAAUGCUGACAUAAGUAACGAUAAAGCGGGUGAAAAGCCCGCUCGCCGGAAGACCAAGGGUUCCUGUCCAACGUUAAUCGGGGCAGGGUGAGUCGACCCCUAAGGCGAGGCCGAAAGGCGUAGUCGAUGGGAAACAGGUUAAUAUUCCUGUACUUGGUGUUACUG